CAGGCUGUUUCUCUUUGUUACAGGAGAGGCUGAAUCAACACUUCACAUGAUGCUCUUACCUUGAUCUCCCUUACUCAGCAACCCGACUUUUUGUGCUGAUUUCAAAGCCACACGAUCAAUUUAUAGGAUGCCCUCCUGUUGCCCUUCUUUCUGAUAUUAAGAAAUUUGCUCCAUCCCUUUGCAAGUGACUUUCUUCUAUCAGCCUGCAAACAACAAAAGAGGCUUUAAGGAUAAAAGGAAGAGGAAGCCAGAUUCACUUUUUAAUAGUCUGGGGACUGGACACUAUACCCUAGAACGGUGGAGCUUGACUGCAAAAGCCCAGAGAUGAUGGAAUUAAGGUCACACAUGUAAUGUUAUGUUCCCACAGGACAGCCCCGGGUGAACUUUCAUCACGGGUCUUUUGCUAAAAAGAUAUAUAAAAAAAAAUCCCCAAACAUGAUCUGGAAUCAAUAUGAUAUUCUUUCCUUUUCCUGCUUUCCACUUUGCUGCUUUCAGUCUGACAAUACCAUAACCUUCACAGUCACCUCUGCAGAAAUCCUGCUCCCUCUGGAGCAGCAGUGGAUGCUCUGCAGUCAUUUGCUUCUUCGCUAAAGUCAAAUAACAAACGUUUCACAUCAGAACAUUUGUACCUUCUGGUUUAUGCUUUUUCUGGCUGGUUUAUGCUUUUAUUUCUGAAAUCCACAGAAUUUUGUGCCUUAAAAAUAGUAAAGAUUUAAAUCAAAGAAUUUAAUUUUCUCAGCAUAUUAAGGCUCAAUUGUUUUCAACAAUUCUUCCUAGAACUUCCUCUUUUUAGAGCAGUGAUGGUGCCCUCUAUGUUCACAUUAACUCCUUAGCACUUAACAUUAGCACUUCUUUCUACACAAAUGUCUUCUCUUAGAAAGCUGGAGUUUUGCUUAAGAUACGAUACACUCUAAAAAACCCAAUUGCACAACAAUUUACUCUUUGACCCUUCAGACAUAAUCUUCUUAGAUGGUGUGAUAAUAUAUUCUUAUUAAUAGAGUUGAUAAUCUAUUUAGGAAUAUUGUGGUUCUGCAUCAAUAGAAGUACAACCUUUUUUUCACCUGGAGAAAAUAAACAUAUAUUUUUGGAAAGUA